rnacentral:rRNA from 1 species
GGAGUUAGCCGGUGCUUCUUCUGUGAGUGAUGUCCUUCCUGCCGGUUAUUGACCCGCAGGCCUUCUUCCUCACUGAAAGUGCUUUACAACCCGAAGGCCUUCUUCACACACGCGGCAUGGCUGGAUCAGGGUUGCCCCCAUUGUCCAAUAUUCCCCACUGCUUCCUCCCGUAGGAGUCUGGGCCGUGUCUCAGUCCCAGUGUGGCUGAUCAUCCUCUCAGACCAGCUACGGAUCGUCGCCUUGGUGAGCCGUUACCUCACCAACCAGCUAAUCCGACAUAGGCUCAUCCGAUAGCGCGAGGCCCGAAGGUCCCCCGCUUUCCCCCGUAGGGCGUAUGCGGUAUUAGCCUGGGUUUCCCCAGGUUAUCCCCCACUACCGGGGCAGAUUCCUAUGCAUUACUCACCCGUCCGCCGCUCGCCACCAGGGAGCAAGCUCCCCGUGCUGCCGCUCGACUUGCNUGUGUAGCUCGCCGCCACGCGUCAUCUGAGCAUGAUACAACUACUCGA